UUAAAGGUCAAGUUAUUAAGGGUGUAGGGCGGAUGCCUUGGCACUAGGAGCCGAAGAAAGACGUGAUAAGCUGCGAAAAGCUGCGGGGAUUGGCAAAUACGAGUUGAUCCGCAGAUAUCUGAAUGGGGAAACUCACUUGGAGUAAUGUCCAAGUAUCCAUAGGUGAAUACAUAGCCUAUGGAGG
rnacentral:rRNA from 1 species